UGGCAGUCAGAGGCGAUGAAGGACGUGCUAAUCUGCGAUAAGCGUCGGUAAGGUGAUAUGAACCGUUAUAACCGGCGAUUUCCGAAUGGGGAAACCCAGUGUGAUUCGUCACACUAUCAUUAACUGAAUCCAUAGGUUAAUGAGGCGAACCGGGGGAACUGAAACAUCUAAGUACCCCGAGGAAAAGAAAUCAACCGAGAUUCCCCCAGUAGCGGCGAGCGAACGGGGAGCAGCCCAGAGCCUGAAUCAGUGUGUGUGUUAGUGGAAGCGUCUGGAAAGGCGUGCGAUACAGGGUGACAGCCCCGUACACAAAAAUGCACAUACUGUGAGCUCGAUGAGUAGGGCGGGACACGUGGUAUCCUGUCUGAAUAUGGGGGGACCAUCCUCCAAGGCUAAAUACUCCUGACUGACCGAUAGUGAACCAGUACCGUGAGGGAAAGGCGAAAAGAACCCCGGCGAGGGGAGUGAAAAAGAACCUGAAACCGUGUACGUACAAGCAGUGGGAGCACGCUUAGGCGUGUGACUGCGUACCUUUUGUAUAAUGGGUCAGCGACUUAUAUUCUGUAGCAAGGUUAACCGAAUAGGGGAGCCGAAGGGAAACCGAGUCUUAACUGGGCGUUAAGUUGCAGGGUAUAGACCCGAAACCCGGUGAUCUAGCCAUGGGCAGGUUGAAGGUUGGGUAACACUAACUGGAGGACCGAACCGACUAAUGUUGAAAAAUUAGCGGAUGACUUGUGGCUGGGGGUGAAAGGCCAAUCAAACCGGGAGAUAGCUGGUUCUCCCCGAAAGCUAUUUAGGUAGCGCCUCGUGAAUUCAUCUCCGGGGGUAGAGCACUGUUUCGGCAAGGGGGUCAUCCCGACUUACCAACCCGAUGCAAACUGCGAAUACCGGAGAAUGUUAUCACGGGAGACACACGGCGGGUGCUAACGUCCGUCGUGAAGAGGGAAACAACCCAGACCGCCAGCUAAGGUCCCAAAGUCAUGGUUAAGUGGGAAACGAUGUGGGAAGGCCCAGACAGCCAGGAUGUUGGCUUAGAAGCAGCCAUCAUUUAAAGAAAGCGUAAUAGCUCACUGGUCGAGUCGGCCUGCGCGGAAGAUGUAACGGGGCUAAACCAUGCACCGAAGCUGCGGCAGCGACGCUUAUGCGUUGUUGGGUAGGGGAGCGUUCUGUAAGCCUGUGAAGGUGUGCUGUGAGGUAUGCUGGAGGUAUCAGAAGUGCGAAUGCUGACAUAAGUAACGAUAAAGCGGGUGAAAAGCCCGCUCGCCGGAAGACCAAGGGUUCCUGUCCAACGUUAAUCGGGGCAGGGUGAGUCGACCCCUAAGGCGAGGCCGAAAGGCGUAGUCGAUGGGAAACAGGUUAAUAUUCCUGUACUUGGUGUUACUGCGAAGGGGGGACGGAGAAGGCUAUGUUGGCCGGGCGACGGUUGUCCCGGUUUAAGCGUGUAGGCUGGUUUUCCAGGCAAAUCCGGAAAAUCAAGGCCGAGGCGUGAUGACGAGGCACUACGGUGCUGAAGCAACAAAUGCCCUGCUUCCAGGAAAAGCCUCUAAGCAUCAGGUAACAUCAAAUCGUACCCCAAACCGACACAGGUGGUCAGGUAGAGAAUACCAAGGCGCUUGAGAGAACUCGGGUGAAGGAACUAGGCAAAAUGGUGCCGUAACUUCGGGAGAAGGCACGCUGAUACGUAGGUGAAGCGACUUGCUCGUGGAGCUGAAAUCAGUCGAAGAUACCAGCUGGCUGCAACUGUUUAUUAAAAACACAGCACUGUGCAAACACGAAAGUGGACGUAUACGGUGUGACGCCUGCCCGGUGCCGGAAGGUUAAUUGAUGGGGUUAGCGCAAGCGAAGCUCUUGAUCGAAGCCCCGGUAAACGGCGGCCGUAACUAUAACGGUCCUAAGGUAGCGAAAUUCCUUGUCGGGUAAGUUCCGACCUGCACGAAUGGCGUAAUGAUGGCCAGGCUGUCUCCACCCGAGACUCAGUGAAAUUGAACUCGCUGUGAAGAUGCAGUGUACCCGCGGCAAGACGGAAAGACCCCGUGAACCUUUACUAUAGCUUGACACUGAACAUUGAGCCUUGAUGUGUAGGAUAGGUGGGAGGCUUUGAAGUGUGGACGCCAGUCUGCAUGGAGCCGACCUUGAAAUACCACCCUUUAAUGUUUGAUGUUCUAACGUGGACCCGUGAUCCGGGUUGCGGACAGUGUCUGGUGGGUAGUUUGACUGGGGCGGUCUCCUCCUAAAGAGUAACGGAG
rnacentral:rRNA from 1 species